GUUUGCCUGUGGAUGUACAUGUCAUACCGUCUACUCAGGAGUAGCGUCUCUGAGGGGGGGAAACAAAAUAUUCAAGCCCGGUUGACUGCCGUUUCCUCGGGAUUUGCCUGCUCCCGUCUUUGAAGUGACUGAGUCAUCGCCAUGGCUGCCUACUUCCAUCUCAGAACCACGUCUCUUCAUCUAAGGUGGCUAUUCACCUCUUCAUAUGAAGAUGGAUGAGACCGGGGAGGGCCAGUCUGUAAUCAUAUCGUGGCUUCCUUCAACUGCGAAGUGAAUCACUCCUAAAAUUCAAGCAUGUACUGUACACUGAAGAACUCAACAACUCAAGACAAGGAUCAAGAGGAAUGGAAGUCUGAAGAAUGUCAAACUCUAUCUGAUUGACUGUGUCUAAAAG